GUUUUGUUUUUGUAUAUCUUUGUAUUUGCGUAAAUAUUCUCCUGAAAUAAUGUAAUUUUCUUCUGUUUAGCUAAGUUACAUAUUGGACCAGGACCGUUCUGAUAGUAAAGGAGGGAAGUGUGUGUCUGACACGAGAGGAUUUCUGGUCCUUGGGGUUAAAUCAGUGCAUGGAAUCAAAUAUUGGAAAUGCUUGCCUGACAAUAGUGGAGGAAACGGCAAAAAGAUGUGUAAUUAAAUUGCGUAGAUCUUCGGUUUUAAGCCCUAUGAACCAAUCAAAAUGCUUAACAUCAUUCUUUCUGUUUUCAUAAGGGAAAAGAAAUACACAUCUUCGAUCUGUGUGUGGUGCCCCUGUGGAAGUCAGAAGAUGUGGAUCCUUUGUGUUCAUUGGCUGACCUGACAACAAAAGAUGUUGUAGCUUUCCCAGCAUGGAACCAACAACAAGGCGCUGCUGAUCACUACCUCCUCUGUGUUCUACUGGUAAAACAGAGAGAGACAGUGUUUCUUGACUCCCUUCGACCUGAUGGUUUUGGCGACGAGGCCUACAGAAAUAUAUUUAGGUUCAAGCUAUAUAGAUUCACUGGUUAUGGCCUAUUGCCAGUUCUGUUUCUUCGGAUAUAUGUUCAUAAAAGCCUCGUUCUCAGGCUACUUGUAUAUUGCAGUGUUUCACACCUUAAUCUAAAUUUAUAAUUCAAAUGUGUUUAGACGCAUUGCUGCCUUAUCAAUCAUGGUCCGAGAAGACAGGGGGCGACCUUGAAGUAUGUUUUUACUUAUCAAAGUGUGAACAGUUUGCAAUAAAACACAUAUUUAUCGCUAAUAUAUGGUUUUACUUUUCUCUAAAACACAUAUUUAUCGCUAAUAUAUGGUUUUACUUUUCUCUAAUUUUACAUGUGUCUUUUAGCAUAGUUCUUAAGAUGUUUGUACAAUCAGUUCUUAAUUUAAUGCAUAAAGUUUUCUCUCUCUCUAAUUUUUUUUUCCCUUUUCAACUUUUCUAAUUACAACCCAUUUUAACCAUAUCAGCAUUUCAUAUAGGUUUUAAGGCCUAGUUCAAUUUUUUUCUCGCCUGUUCUAAUCGUAUUUGUGUAUAGUUUGGUGGUAGUAGGAAAUGAGUUUUUUGCUGUUUAAUUUACAAUGUUGUUUGAUUUACAUGUUUUGUUUUGAAGUUUUCAGAGGACACUUUACAGGAUAUUAGAGCAAGAUCUUUUCUUUAAAUAAAAGGUUAAUAAGCAAUGAUUAGGUUUUUUCUUUUUAAAAAGCAAAAAUGUUUCC